rnacentral:rRNA from 1 species
AUACGGAGGGAGCAAGCGUUAUUCGGAAUCACUGGGCGUAAAGGACGCGUAGGCGGGUUUGUAAGUCAGGUGUGAAAUCCUACAGCUCAACUGUAGAACUGCACUUGAAACUACAGACCUAGAGUAUGGAAGGGGCAGAUUGAAUUAGUGGUGUAGGGGUAAAAUCCGUAGUUAUCACUAGGAAUACCGAAAGCGAAGGCGAUCUGCUGGGACAUUACUGACGCUGAGGCGUGAAAGCGUGGGGAGCAAACAGGAUUAGAAACCCCAGUAGUCC